UACGGAAGGCAGCAGUGGGGAAUAUUGCACAAUGGGCGAAAGCCUGAUGCAGCUAUGCCGCGUGUAUGAAGAAGGCCUUAGGGUUGUAAAGUACUUUCAUCGGGGAGGAAAAACAAAACUAAUAAUUUUAUUUCUUGACGUUACCCGAAAAAGAAGCACCGGCUAACUCCGUGCCAGCAGCCGCGGUAAUACGGAGGGUGCUAGCGUUAAUCAGAAUUACUGGGCGUAAAGAGCACGUAGGUGGUUUUUUUAAAGUCAGAUGUGAAAUCCCUGGGCUUAACCUAGGAACUGCAUUUUGAAACUGAAAUACUAGAGUAUCGUAGAGGGAGGUAGAAUUCUAGGUGUAGCGGUGAAAUGCGUAGAUAUCUGGAGGAAUACCUGUGGCGAAAGCGGCCUCCUAAACGAAUACUGACACUGAGGUGCGAAAGCGUGGGGAGCAAACAGGGAUUAGAUACCCGU
rnacentral:rRNA from 1 species